AUUGAACGCUGGCGGCAGGCCUAACACAUGCAAGUCGAGCGGAUGAAGGGAGCUUGCUCCUGGAUUCAGCGGCGGACGGGUGUGUAAUGCCUAGGAAUCUGCCUGGUAGUGGGGGAUAACGUCCGGAAACGGGCGCUAAUACCGCAUACGUCCUGAGGGAGAAAGUGGGGGAUCCUCGUACCUCACGCCACCAGACAAGCCCAGGUCGGAUUAGCUAGUUGGUGGGGUAACGGCCUACCAAGGCGACGACCCGUAACUGGUCUGCGAGGAUGAUCAGUCACACUGGAACUGAGACACGGUCCAGACUCCUACGGGAGGCAGCAGUGGGGAAUAUUGGACCAUGGGCGAAAGCCUGAUCCAGCCAUGCCGCGUGUGUGGAGAAGGUCUUCGGAUUGUAGAGCACUUUAAGUUGGGAGGGAGGGCAGUAAGUUAAUACCUUGCUGUUUUGACGUUACCAACAGAAUAAUCACCGGCUAACUUCGUG
rnacentral:rRNA from 1 species